UGAUCUUGAGAUCCUGGGUGUGUCAGAG
rnacentral:piRNA from 1 species